AUUGAACGCUGGCGGCAUGCUUUACACAUGCAAGUCGAACGGUAACAGGGUGCUUGCACCGCUGACGAGUGGCGAACGGGUGAGUAAUACAUCGGAAUGUACCCAGUAAUGGGGGAUAACGCUUCGAAAGGAGUGCUAAUACCGCAUACGCCCUGAGGGGGAAAGUGGGGGACCGCAAGGCCUCACGUUAUUGGAGCAGCCGAUGGCUGAUUAGCAAGUUGGUGAGGGAAAGGCUCACCAAGGCGACGAUCAGUAGCGGGUCUUAGAGGACGAUCCGCCAAACUGGAACUGAGACACGGGCCAGACUCCGACGGGAGGCAGCAGUGGGGAAUCUUGGACAAUGGGCGAAAGCCUGAUCCAGCAAUGCCGCGUGCGUGAAGAAGGCCUUCGGGUUGUAAAGCGCUUUUGUCUGGGAGCAAAUCCUGGCCUCUAAUACAGGUCGGGGAUGAGAGUACCAGAAGAAUAAGGACCGGCUAACUACGUGCCAGCAGCCGCCGUAAAAC
rnacentral:rRNA from 1 species